rnacentral:rRNA from 1 species
UAGGGCGGGACACGAGGAAUCCUGUCUGAAUCUGGGUCGACCACGAUCCAACCCUAAAUACUAAUACCAGAUCGAUAGUGCACAAGUACCGUGAGGGAAAGGUGAAAAGAACUGAGGUGAUCAGAGUGAAAUAGAACCUGAAACCAUUUGCUUACAAUCAUUCAGAGCCCUAUGUAGCAAUACAGGGUGAUGGACUGCCUUUUGCAUAAUGAGCCUGCGAGUUGUGGUGUCUGGCAAGGUUAAGCAAACGCGAAGCCGUAGCGAAAGCGAGUCUGAAUAGGGCGCUUAGUCAGAUGCUGCAGACCCGAAACGAAGUGAUCUAUCCAUGAGCAAGUUGAAGCUAGUGUAAGAACUAGUGGAGGACUGAACCCAUAGGCGUUGAAAAGCCCCGGGAUGACUUGUGGAUAGGGGUGAAAGGCCAAUCAAACUUCGUGAUAGCUGGUUCUCUCCGAAAUAUAUUUAGGUAUAGCGUUGUGUCGUAAUAUAAGGGGGUAGAGCACUGAAUGGGCUAGGGCAUACACCAAUGUACCAAACCCUAUCAAACUCCGAAUACCUUAUAUGUAAUCACAGCAGUCAGGCGGCGAGUGAUAAAAUCCGUCGUCAAGAGGGAAACAACCCAG